GGCACAAGCGGAGGAGCAUGUGGUUUAAUUCGAUGAUACGCGAGGAACCUUACCUGGGCUCGAACGUAAGAUGACUGUAGGUGAAAGCUUACAUCUCUUCGGAGCAUUUUACGAGGUGCUGCAUGGUUGUCGUCAGCUCGUGCCGUGAGGUGUCGGGUUAAGUCCCAUAACGAGCGCAACCCCUACCUUUAGUUGCCAUCAAGUUAAGCUGGGGACUCUAAAGGAACUGCCUACGCAAGUAGUGAGGAAGCGGGGAUGACGUCAAAUCAGCACGGCCCUUACGUCCAGGGCUACACACGUGCUACAAUGGCCGAUACAGAGGGCAGCUACCUGGUGACAGGAUGCAAAUCUCCAAAGUCGGUCUCAGUUCGGAUCGGAGUCUGCAACCCGACUCCGUGAAGUUGGAUUCGCUAGUAAUCGCGCAUCAGCCAUGGCGCGGUGAAUACGUUCCCGGGCCUU
rnacentral:rRNA from 1 species